UCUUCUGAAACGGAAAGGAAUGGCAAUUUGUUUUUAUUUUCUUCUGAAACGGAAAGGAAUUGAAAUUUUACAGUGCAAGUCCAUGAUUGCAUUCUCUGGUUCUCUUUAGAGGUUGAAAGAGUUUGGAGUGAGAAUUAAAGAAAACCAUUGGACUUUUUUACCUUGGGGAAAGAAUCUUUUUGUAAAGAAGGUUAUUGGUGUUCAAAGGGAUUUGAUAGACGCUUAUUGUGUUGUGGAAUGUGGACCUGGAAAUGAAACGUUUGUAGCUUCGUUAGAGGACCCGACGACCUCGGCUAACCUUCAUCAACAGGGCAGUUUAAGUUUGGUAUUUGGUUUCGGAAGUCUUUAUUGCUUUGUUCAUGGCCAGCAUGUGCGCAAAGAAGAAGUCGACGGUAGAGGAAUGUUGAUGAAGUCGGGCUCCAUGUUUGGUUAACUUUCGCUCCAUGGAUUUUGAUGGAAGAAGAGUUAGAUAAAAGGAUGCUUUCUUGAGUUGGAGCUAUACGAUAAGGAUCUUCAGAAUUAAAUAAGCACAGAUAACGACAUCUUCCAGGUUGUUUCCUUGGUUCUGGAAGGAAAUUUAAGAUUGAUUAGUUCUCGAUCUCCAUGUUGCUUUCGUCAAGAUUACUAUCAACAAUGAGAGGAGGAAAGCAAAGGGUCUGUUUGGCAUGGUGUAGUCAGAGGGUGUGAUGCAGCCAAGGGAAAUAAUUGAAGCUCGAUUGCAUGAGAAGAAUUGAAUUACAGUGAGAUGAUAGAAAGAAAGGUUUAUUUCACAUGAUUUUGUACGUUGGCAAAAAAUUUAUGCGUAUUUGAUGGAAGGUGAAGGAAUAUUACUAAAGGAACGGGAAUCAAAUAUAAAUCAUUGUCUUCUGAUGGUCGCGUCGAAUGACUCUGACAUGUCUAGUUCUUCUGGAAGAUUCUGUUUGGGAGCUUCCAGUUGAGGUGGUAUUGAAGAUGAGCAAGUAGAAGCUCCAUAUUUGAUGGUACCAAGUGUUAAUCCUGGACACAUCCUCCUCCCAGCUGCCCGCCCCAUAUGGUGAAGGAGGACUGUAAGGGAUGGGAAUUAAGCAUAAAUCUUUCCUUCUUUGGAUGGUUGCACCGAAUGUUUCCGACAUAUCCAAAUCUUCUGGCUUGACACCAGAGGGAAGUUUCCAAUCGAAGUGGUACAGUAAAUGAGCAAGUAGAAGCCCCAUGUUGGCUGUCCCUAGUGCCAGCCCAGGGCACAUCCUUCUACCAGCACCAAAUGACCACUAAUGAAAUGAAGGAAGUUCAGCCAAGGAAACACAUCACUGAUGUCGAAACCACCUGCCAAGCCACGAAGGAGAUGCUUUGAAUGAGAUUUGAAAUCUCUUCCUCUCUUACCGAUCUGAAUGACCGGACUUGUUUAGCACUCAAUAAUUCCAGCACGAAAAUCCUUCGCAAUUGCCUCCAGUAAUUACCGCAAGGGGAGAAAGCU